UGUGUAGGUCAAAAAAUAAUAAACAAAAAUGACCAAGAGAUUCAUUUUAAGACACAUCAAUCUUCAUCAUCUUUAAAUAAAAAGGGUAAACAUUAUGGAUUUCCAUUAUCUCAAGCAAAAACAAAGAGUUCAAAAUAUUGGUGGUAAGAACUGUCAAAAACUUGUGAUAGCUAUGAUGAAGAGUUUGUGCAUCGAUUUCUCACGAAUCAUACACAGAGUCGAUUGUCGAUGCAAUAAUUGCUGAUUCGUGAAAACGGGCAACUUUUGCUUGUCUUAAAGUGCCUUAAAUCCAACAGAUAUCAUCGUUAUAAUAUUA